GAUGAACGCUGGCGGCGUGCCUAAUACAUGCAAGUCGAACGCGAGCAGCAAUGCUCGAGUGGCGAACGGGUGAGUAAUACAUAAGUAACCUGCCCUAGACAGGGGGAUAACUGCUGGAAACGGCAGCUAAGACCGCAUAGGUAUGGACACUGCAUGGUGACCAUAUUAAAAGUGCCAAGGCACUGGUAGAGGAUGGACUUAUGGCGCAUUAGCUGGUUGGUGAGGUAACGGCUCACCAAGGCGACGAUGCGUAGCCGACCUGAGAGGGUGACCGGCCACACUGGGACUGAGACACGGCCCAGACUCCUACGGGAGGCAGCAGUAGGGAAUUUUCGGCAAUGGGGGGAACCCUGACCGAGCAACGCCGCGUGAAGGAAGAAGGAAUUCGUUCUGUAAACUUCUGUUAUAAAGGAAGAACGGCGGAUAUAGGGAAUGAUAUCCGAGUGACGGUACUUUAUGAGAAAGCCACG
rnacentral:rRNA from 1 species